GAUGAACGCUGGCGGCGUGCCUAAUACAUGCAAGUCGAGCGAACAGACGAGAAGCUUGCUCCUCUGAUGUUAGCGGCGGACGGGUGAGUAACACGUGGAUAACCUACCUAUAAGACUGGGAUAACUUCGGGAAACCGGAGCUAAUACCGGAUAAUAUAUUGAACCGCAUGGUUCAAUAGUGAAAGACGGUCUUGCUGUCACUUAUAGAUGGAUCCGCGCUGCAUUAGCUAGUUGGUAAGGUAACGGCUUACCAAGGCAACGAUGCGUAGCCGACCUGAGAGGGUGAUCGGCCACACUGGAACUGAGACACGGUCCAGACUCCUACGGGAGGCAGCAGUAGGGAAUCUUCCGCAAUGGGCGAAAGCCUGACGGAGCAACGCCGCGUGAGUGAUGAAGGUCUUCGGAUCGUAAAACUCUGUUAUUAGGGAAGAACAUAUGUGUAAGUAACUGUGCACGUCUUGACGGUACCUAAUCAGAAAGCCACGGCUAACUACGUG
rnacentral:rRNA from 1 species